GAGGCCUGCAAACGUGCCCACUUGAUUCUAAAUCCUCUUAGGCGCUCGCGGUGUGAACCGGGAAGGGGGUGGCCCUCCAAGCCUUUGCAAUCCCAGACCUGGAGCCUGGCGCUCGGCGAGCGGUUUGCACCACGCAUGCAAAUCGAGUUGGCGUCUUGGAGACGUGGGCAGAGUCUGUUGGGUUACCAGCAAACGCCCCGAUACGGCCCUUCAGUGCCACGCGGGGUCCCGAAAAAUGUGCAGGGUGUUUCCCCUGGAAAGACUUCCUGUUAAGUGUUCAGAAAAGCCAGCUGAGCUGCGCGUCAUUAGUCACCCAGAAUUCCCUGUAGGACUCCUGGGAUGUGAAGAACUACUCCCUGAUAGGAUCCCUUUGGAAUUCCUUACAUCAGAAGACAGCAUCUUUGCUUGACAAUCUGAUUUAAAAAAAAAAAAAAAAAAAAGGUUUUCUAUCCAUAAAACUGGAAUCUGCCUCCACUUAUGGAACCAUGGAGAAUUAAUCAAAUUUCUAUUUCACAUGGUAUUACCCUUCAGAUGUUUGGAGACACUCCUCACACCCUCACCCCCAGUGUUCUCCCAGCUAAACACCUGCAGAUUGACCAGUCUGUCCCGUGG